rnacentral:rRNA from 1 species
ACGCUUGAAGUCAGUCAUGUCUGCCAGGACUCAGCCUUGCUUCUGCUUGGUGUACUUUCUGGUUUGAUGGGCCAACAUCAAUUUCGACCGUUGGAGAAAGGUUUUGGGAAUGUGGCACCUUCGGGUGUGUUAUAGCCCGUUGCUGUAUACGACGGUUGGGAUUGAGGACUGCAGCACGCCUUCAUGGCCGGGGUUCGCCCACGUACGUGCUUAGGAUGUUGGCAUAAUGGCUUUAAGCGACCCGUCUUGAAACACGGACCAAGGAGUC